CUGUCAACCAUUCACUGAAGCUCUCGCCUUCUCUUUGGUUUCUUGAUCCGAAACGGAAUUCCUGAAAGGUUAGAUUCGUUUCAGGCUUGUAGAAAUCUUCAAAUUUCUGUAACAAGACGUCGACGUCGUUUUUGUCUUUACCUGCUUGAACGUGCUGUACGCCUUUCUAGCCUCCUCACCAAUCGUUACUAGCAACGUGGCUGCCUGUCCAUCUUUGAUCUGCUUGCUCAGCUGAGUGGCAGUAGAAAAACAAGGCACUCACUCUUCCGAGUUUGCCAUCCAAGCCAAGCGUUGCCUGAUGUGUCCAAGGGCUUCGGCGGUGGAAGAAGAGAAGCUGGCGUCGACAUGCUGACCAGGGACCGCUGCCACCAUCUAGCGUUCAGAGACGUCGUCGAGGCGCUGCGCCUCUGGUCGAAGACGCAAAGGCUGUCGUUUGAUGCGCGGCGCUUGCGACCAGAGGCGGUCGCGCAGACGCUGCAUCAGGUUCAGAACUGGUCCGCGAGGAAGUGGCUCCCGAAGUACCGAUUGGAUUCCGCCUACGGACUCUAAAAGCGGGGAUGGUUGCACCAUUCCCUCUUCUUCUUCCGCACUUUCCACAUGGAUCAAGCCUUCGCAACAUCGAUGCCACCGUUCGAACAACGUUGCAGAAUUUCAAGUGUAUCGACCUGUGGCUGAAAAUCGCCGCUGCAACUUUUAUAAAACGCAGCAUCUGGCCACUCUACGUAUAUCUACCCUCGUACGCAUUGAGGCGGGAAGGGAGUAAGACGCUUUCAAAAAUGUCGUUACGUUUAUUACUUCUUGCAUACUGUUAAGAAAGCGCACUUAAAGAAGGGUCGGGCCAUUUUUAGUCCUGCAUGCUUUUGGCGACCGCGGAGGUCUGUAAUGCAUGUCUCGUGCCUCCUUUCUCUGCCAGUUGUCCGGGAAUAUUGAAAUUUGCUGUACACUUUCCAAGUUGAUGUAUAUAUUUUGUUUGGUGUUCCUUGAUGCAAAAUAUAUUUUAAAAAUGUUUCAUCUUGAUAAC